AAUUCAAGGUCACACAAUGUCGGGGAUGGACCUCCAGAUUUCCUUACUGUACUUAUCCUGUAUUACAUGAAGGAAAUGAAAUAAAAAGACUGCAGCCCCACUCCCAGCUACUCAGUGAGGUGGUAGCUAGGUGAGACGUGGUCUUGUAACACAGUGGUUAAGAAUGUGACUUUGGAGCCAGCCUGCUAGGGGCUGAAUUCUGACUCAGCCAUUUACUAACUGUGUGACCUUAGGGAGGAGGACCUGGUUGAUAGAAGAAUUUAUCUCGUAGUCUUAACAUCCACUGUAAUUCCAAACUUUGAGGACGAUAGAGAUCAGUGGGCUUUGACUGCCCAGCAUGCAGUCUCCAUUCUUAGGUGGAGUCUCACUCUGUAGCCCAAGCUGGAGUGGCGUGAUCUCGACUCACUGCAACCUCCGCCUCCUGGGAUCAAGUGAUUCUCGUGCCUCAGCCUCCUGAGUAGCCGGGACUACAGGUCACAGAAUUUUCCACACUCCUUGACAGAGGUGCUUAACCCUUAUCCAUCAGCAUUCUCAGACAGCACCUCCGGUUAGGGACAGUAUCUGACCGUCCGACAUCCCUGCAGCCCCCAUGUGUCACACAGACUCAGCCUCAGGUAGAUGGUUUCCGUAGAUGGUGGCUUUCUUUGGACCCUUGACAUCAACCAGUUACUAUUUGCCAGAGACAGACUCCCAG
rnacentral:lncRNA from 1 species